rnacentral:rRNA from 1 species
CACGGCGCACGGGUGCGUAACACGUGGGCAAUCUGCCCUCCGAUGGGGAAUAACCCCGCGAAAGCGGGGCUAAUACCGCAUAACAUUCCUUGGACGAUGGUUUGAGGAUUCAAAGCAGUGAUGCGUCGGAGGAGGAGCCCGCGCCCGAUUAGCUAGUUGGUGAGGUAACGGCUCACCAAGGCAAUGAUCGGUAGCUGGUCUGAGAGGAUGGCCAGCCACACUGGAACUGAGACACGGUCCAGACUCCUACGGGAGGCAGCAGUGGGGAAUCUUGCGCAAUGGGCGAAAGCCUGACGCAGCGACGCCGCGUGGGGGAUGAAGCUUUUCGGAGUGUAAACCCCUUUCGACUGGGACGAAUGCCCGCGAGGGAGUGACGGUACCAGUAGAAGAAGCCCCGGCUAACUACGUGCCAGCAGCCGCGGUAAGACGUAGGGGGCCAGCGUUGUUCGGAAUUACUGGGUGUAAAGGGUUCGUAGGCGGUGCGGCAAGUCGGGAGUGAAAUCUCUGGGCUUAACUCAGAGGCUGCUUCCGA